CCUACGGGAGGCAGCAGUGAGGAAUAUUGGACAAUGGACGGAAGUCUGAACCAGCCAUGCCGCGUGCAGGAAGACGGCCCUCUGAGUUGUAAACUGCUUUUGUACAAAGGUAAAUCUGAAUACGUGUAUUCAGAUGAAUGUACUGUACGAAUAAGGAAAGGCUAACUCCGGGCCAGCAGCGCCGGUAAUACGUAGGAUCCAAGCGUUAUGCGGAUUUAUUGGGUUUAAAGGGUGCGUAGGCGGAUUGAUAAGUUAGAGGUGAAAUGGCCGAGCUUAACUCGGGAACUGCCUCUAAUUCUGUGGAGCUAGAGAGUAGAUGCGGUAGGCGGAAUGUAUGGUGUAGCGGUGAAAUGCUUAGAGAUCAGACAGAACACCGAUUGCGAAGGCAGCUUACCAAUCUAUAUCUGACGUUGAGGCACGAAAGCGUGGGGAGCAAACAGGAUUAGAUACCCGUGUAGUC
rnacentral:rRNA from 1 species